GCGGAUUGUUAACAUCAACCAAAGCCCUAAAAGUGAUUCUGGCAGCAAAUGAGCGCGUCUCUGAGAAGCAGGUGAAGAGCCCAGGACUCAGCUGGACACAUUGGCAGCUGCAGGCCUGAGAAGACCCCACCGGGCAGGAUGCCCCCGGCUGUCCCCCAGGGACCCCAGCUUUGAAGGUAACCCACCAGUUUCAGCCAGAUGUGCAGCCCCCUCGGAGCAAGUGGUUAAACAACCGCUUUGAAGAUGAAGCGCCCUCAGGGCACGCUAAGUAGCUUUAUUAUCUCGUGGAGAGGGUGUCACUCUGCGGAGGCACCAGCUCCCAGCUCUCUCACCGUUAGGGAGUUAGUGAGAGGCAAAGUCAGCCGGAAAUGCAGAGUGCCAAAAAAGAGGAGAGAAUAAAAUGCUAGGGGUGGGAGGAAGGGGACGGGUGGGUGCCUGGGCUUUGAAAUCCUGCCAUGGAAAGUUCUCUCCCAUGGAUCCCCUUCCAGCCUGCCCGAGUGCAGCAACUGGACGUGGCAUGUGACAGGCGCUGCAGACGGAUCGCGUUUCACACAUGCAGCUGUAAGAUCUGGCACACAGGUGUUUGCUUCUGUGUUUGCCAGCUGCUCUGCAGCGCCCGGCUACAAUGGAAUAGGGGUCGGGGGGAGGGGAACCCUCACACUUGUUGCUGCCAGAAGGGAGGAGGGAGCUGGAGAUUCCUGCCCCUGGCCAAGAGCUCAGCAUUUGACUCAGGGCUGGGGCGGCCCUGAUGCCUGCUUUAGAGGGUCCUGGGGCCUCUUCUCAUGGGCUCACCCAGGACCCAGCUGUGGCUGGUGGAAGGGUGGGCAGUGUGGUUGGUAAACCUCCAAGCAAGCUGGCCAGGGCCCCAGGAAGCCUGUUCGGGAGGUAGAGCGCCUGGGAUAGGAGGCCACUGGGUUCUUGAGUCAGGGUCCUACUUCACCUCUGAAAACGGUGAACCCUCAGCCAGCUUUCUUCCCCUCUCUGGUCUGAGUUUCCUGAUCUACGAAGUGGAGUCGGGAACCCUCCUCUGUGAGGACUCCAUGAAGCACUCAGGGAAGCAGCGUUCCUUUUGUCGUUUCCACCUGGGGAAGGUGGGGCGGGGAGGGACCCAUCAGGCUCCUGGACCACAUCCCUGGGCCCUGUAUUCAAGGCUGCCCCAGCUGUUCUGGGUCUCAGGCUCAGAUAUCACCAGGGCUGAGGAACAGGUCAUUGGUUUCCUGCUCCUUUCCCUCCUCGGGAGGAAGAGGACUGGCCGUUCAGGAUACCGAAGUCACCCGAAGAAAGGUGGAAGCAGGGGAGCCUGGGAUUGGACCCCCAACCUGCGCCUGCUGGAAGCCCCUCCCCUUCCCUUCUUAGCACCUGCCAGGUGCAGUGUCUCUGCAGCUGUGACUGUCAUAUGGAGGCUUUCUCCCACAGUGGACUCUCUGGAGGCCAUGGACUGUCUGCUUUGCCCAUCACUCUGUCCCCAGCCCGUUGUCUGCACGAGAUAAGGAAACUGAGGAUCGGACAUAGGAAAACUCUCCAACAUCAUAGAGCUGGUACACGGCAGAACUGGGAUUCAAAGCUGGUCUGUAGGAAUCCUAAGCCUUUUCUCUUGCUGUGCCAUUCAGAAUGGGGAUGAGCAAAUAGCCACAGGCUCAGGGCCUGCAUCCUUUCUCUCCAGGUAACAGUGCCCUCUUGGGCCAGAAUGCCAUUCGUUUGUUCAAUCAUUCAUCCAACAAGUAGGCACUGGGUACCUUCUGUGUACCAGGCCCCGUUCUAGUAGCUGGAGAGACACUGUAUUGUCAGGGUCUCCCCUUCUAAAAGUUUAUAACACAGCACAGAGGCAAAGCCUAAAUGGGUAAGCACCCAAUUUAACUAGUUGGUUGGUUAUAAUGGUACUAAGUACCAUGAGGUACUAUAUGAAGUACUAAGUACUAUAAAGUACUAUAAUGGUACUAAGUACCAUGAGGUACUAUAUGAAGUACUAAGUACUAUAAAGUACUAUAAUGGUUCUAAGUAGUAUGCUGUGUUGGGAGAAGCUUGUCUGGGGAAAUCAAGGCAGGCUUCCCUGAGGAAGGGACAGUAUUUCCACCUUUGCUGUCAACCAGGCUAGUGUCUUAAAGAGUAGUAUCUCCAGGGAAGGACAGUGUCCCAGCAGACAGGGGGAGGAGUGCCCACACUGUCCCAUUUCAGACAGACUUUGGCUGAUCAGGCAUCACCCACGUCUUCGUGUUCAGCUCUGAAAGGAUUACAAACAUGUUUAAAAAUACCCAAGGGAGGAGAACCCCGGGUCAGAACAGGACCCGUGAUACUCUGGCACUCACUGACCCACGGGCAGACACUGCUUCUGUUUGGGACUGUAUUUUUCCUGGUGCGUGAGGGAUAGUCCUGGUGACCCUCACUGCAGCCGCUUCCCCAGGAAUGGAAAAUCACUUGCUGAAAACAUAAGCAGAGCAUAUAAUAAUUGGCAGGACACAGGCAGCUUAUCACCAUUCUCUCUCCUCCUGC
rnacentral:lncRNA from 13 species